rnacentral:rRNA from 1 species
CCCUACGGGAGGCAGCAGUGAGGAAUAUUGGUCAAUGGACGCAAGUCUGAACCAGCCAUGCCGCGUGCAGGAAGACGGCUCUAUGAGUUGUAAACCUCUUUUGUCGGGGAGCAAGACCCGCCACGAGUGGCGGAGCGAGAGUACCCGAAGAAAAAGCAUCGGCUAACUCCGUGCCAGCAGCCGCGGUAAUACGGAGGAUGCGAGCGUUAUCCGGAUUUAUUGGGUUUAAAGGGUGCGCAGGCGGACCAUCAAGUCAGCGGUAAAAUCGUGGGGCCCAACCCCAUCCCGCCGUUGAAACUGGCGGG